GACGAACGCUGGCGGCGUGCUUAACACAUGCAAGUCGAGCGGUAAGGCCCUUUCGGGGGUACACGAGCGGCGAACGGGUGAGUAACACGUGGGUGACCUGCCCUCAGCUCUGGGAUAAGCCUGGGAAACCGGGUCUAAUACUGGAUAUGACUCCAUGACGCAUGUUGUGGGGUGAAAGCCUUGUGCGGCUGAGGAUGGGCCCGCGGCCUAUCAGCUUGUUGGUGGGGUGANGGCCUACCAAGGCGACGACGGGUAGCCGGCCUGAGAGGGCGACCGGCCACACUGGGACUGAGACACGGCCCAGACUCCUACGGGAGGCAGCAGUGGGGAAUCUUGCGCAAUGGGCGAAAGCCUGACGCAGCGACGCCGCGUGAGGGAUGAAGGCCUU
rnacentral:rRNA from 1 species